UUCACUUCAUGGACUCCCUAUGAUCGUGA
rnacentral:piRNA from 1 species